rnacentral:rRNA from 1 species
AUGACCUACGGGAGGCAGCAGUGGGGAAUAUUGCACAAUGGGGGGAACCCUGAUGCAGCGACGCCGCGUGAGUGAAGAAGUAUUUCGGUACGUAAAGCUCUAUCAGCAGGGAAGAAAAAAGGACGGUACCUGAGUAAGAAGCCCCGGCUAACUACGUGCCAGCAGCCGCGGUAAUACGUAGGGGGCAAGCGUUAUCCGGAUUUACUGGGUGUAAAGGGAGCGUAGACGGCAAUGCAAGCCAGAUGUGAAAGCCCGGGGCUCAACCCCGGGACUGCAUUUGGAACUGUGUAGCUGGAGUGUCGGAG